rnacentral:rRNA from 1 species
UGCGGGGGGGGCAAGCGUUGUUCGGAAUUACUGGGCGUAAAGGGUUUGCAGGUGGCUUGUUAAGUCAGACGUGAAAUCCCUCAGCUUAACUGGGGAACUGCGUCUGAGACUGGUGAGCUUGAGUGCAGGAGAGGAACGCGGAAUUCCAGGUGUAGCGGUGAAAUGCGUAGAUAUCUGGAGGAACACCGGUGGCGAAGGCGGCGUUCUGGACUGCAACUGACACUGAUGAACGAAAGCCAGGGGAGCAAACGGG